CGACCGGCGCACGGGUGAGUAACACGUAUCCAACCUACCCUUUACUCGGGGAUAGCCUUUCGAAAGAAAGAUUAAUACCCGAUAGCAUAAUGAUUCCGCAUGGUUUCAUUAUUAAGGAUUCCGGUAAGGAUGGGGAUGUGUUCCAUUAGGUUGUUGGUGGGGGUAACGGGCCCACCAAGCCUUCGAUGGAUAGGGGUUCUGAGAGGAAGGUCCCCCACAUUGGAACUGAGACACGGUCCAAACUCCUACGGGAGGCAGCAUG
rnacentral:rRNA from 1 species